GACGAACGCUGGCGGCGUGCCUAAUACAUGCAAGUCGAGCGGAGAAAUGGGAGCUUGCUCCCAUUUCUCAGCGGCGGACGGGUGAGUAACACGUGGGCAACCUGCCCUACAGACUGGGAUAACUCCGGGAAACCGGAGCUAAUACCGGGUAAUACAUAGCAUCGCAUGAUGCAACGUUGAAAGUUGGCCUUUGGCUAACACUGUAGGAUGGGCCCGCGGCGCAUUAGCUAGUUGGUAAGGUAACGGCUUACCAAGGCCACGAUGCGUAGCCGACCUGAGAGGGUGAUCGGCCACACUGGGACUGAGACACGGCCCAGACUCCUACGGGAGGCAGCAGUAGGGAAUCUUCCGCAAUGGACGAAAGUCUGACGGAGCAACGCCGCGUGUAGUGACGAAGGCCUUCGGGUCGUAAAGCUCUGUUGUUAGGGAAGAACAAGUACCGUUCGAAUAGGGCGGUACCUUGACGGUACCUAACCAGAAAGCCACGGCUAACUACGUGCCAGCAGCCGCGGUAAUACGUAGGUGGCAAGCGUUGUCCGGAAUUAUUGGGCGUAAAGCGCGCGCAGGCGGUCUCUUAAGUCUGAUGUGAAAGCCCACGGCUCAACCGUGGAGGGCCAUUGGAAACUGGGGGACUUGAGUGCAGAAGAGGAGAGUGGAAUUCCACGUGUAGCGGUGAAAUGCGUAGAUAUGUGGAGGAACACCAGUGGCGAAGGCGGCUCUCUGGUCUGUAACUGACGCUGAGGCGCGAAAGCGUGGGGAGCGAACAGGAUUAGAUACCCUGGUAGUCCACGCCGUAAACGAUGAGUGCUAGGUGUUGGGGGGUUCCACCCUCAGUGCUGAAGUUAACACAUUAAGCACUCCGCCUGGGGAGUACGACCGCAAGGUUGAAACUCAAAGGAAUUGACGGGGGCCCGCACAAGCAGUGGAGCAUGUGGUUUAAUUCGAAGCAACGCGAAGAACCUUACCAGGUCUUGACAUCCUCUGCCACUCCUAGAGAUAGGACGUUCCCCUUCGGGGGACAGAGUGACAGGUGGUGCAUGGUUGUCGUCAGCUCGUGUCGUGAGAUGUUGGGUUAAGUCCCGCAACGAGCGCAACCCUUGAUCUUAGUUGCCAGCAUUCAGUUGGGCACUCUAAGGUGACUGCCGGUGACAAACCGGAGGAAGGUGGGGACGACGUCAAAUCAUCAUGCCCCUUAUGACCUGGGCUACACACGUGCUACAAUGGACGGUACAAAGGGCAGCAACACCGCGAGGUGAAGCGAAUCCCAUAAAGCCGUUCUCAGUUCGGAUUGUAGGCUGCAACUCGCCUACAUGAAGCCGGAAUUGCUAGUAAUCGCGGAUCAGCAUGCCGCGGUGAAUACGUUCCCGGGCCUUGUACACACCGCCCGUCACACCACGAGAGUUUGUAACACCCGAAGUCGGUGAGGUAACCUUUUGGAGCCAGCCGCCGA
rnacentral:rRNA from 1 species